UGGGGAAUAUUGCACAAUGGACGGAAGUCUGAUGCAGCAACGCCGCGUGCGGGAUGACGGCCCUCGGGUUGUAAACCGCUUUUUCUCAUGACGAAGUUUUUUGACGGUAGUGGGGGAAGAAGCACCGGCUAACUACGUGCCAGCAGCCGCGGUGAUACGUAGGGUGCGAGCGUUGUCCGGAAUUAUUGGGCGUAAAGAGCUUGUAGGCGGUUUGUCGCGUCGAUAGUGCAAACUCAGUGCUUAACGCUGAGCCUGCUGUUGAUACGGGCAGACUAGAGGAAGGUAGGGGAGAGUGGAAUUCCCGGUGGAGCGGUGGAAUGCGCAGAUAUCGGGAGGAACACCGGUGGCGAAGGCGGUUCUCUGGGCCUUUCCUGACGCUGAGAAGCGAAAGCGUGGGGAGCGAACAGG
rnacentral:rRNA from 1 species